AAACUCAAAGGACUUGGCGGUGCUUUAUACCCUUCUAGAGGAGCCUGUUCUAUAAUCGAUAAACCCCGAUAAACCUCACCAUUCCUUGCUAAUCCAGUCUAUAUACCGCCAUCUUCAGCAAACCCUAAAAAGGUACAAAAGUAAGCACAAUCAUAAUACAUAAAGACGUUAGGUCAAGGUGUAACCUAUGGAAUGGAAAGAAAUGGGCUACAUUUUCUAAUAUAAGAAAAUCCACUACGAAAGUUAUUAUGAAAUUAGUAACCAAAGGAGGAUUUAGCAGUAAACUAAGAA
rnacentral:rRNA from 1 species